CCUACGGGGGGCAGCAGUGAGGAAUAUUGGUCAAUGGACGCAAGUCUGAACCAGCCAUGCCGCGUGCAGGAAGACGGCUCUAUGAGUUGUAAACUGCUUUUGUACGAGAGUAAACGCAGAUACGCGUAUCUGUCUGAAAGUAUCGUACGAAUAAGGAUCGGCUAACUCCGUGCCAGCAGCCGCGGUAAUACGGAGGAUUCAAGCGUUAUCCGGAUUUAUUGGGUUUAAAGGGUGCGUAGGUGGUUGGUUAAGUUAGAGGUGAAAUCCCGCGGCUCAACUUCGGAAUUGCAUCUGAUACUGGUCGGCUAGAGAGUAGUUGCGGUAGGCGGAAUGCAUGGUGUAGCGGUGAAAUGCUUAGAGAUCAUACAGAACACCGAUUGCGAAGGCAGCUUACUAAGCUACUUCUGACGUUGAGGCACGAAAGUGUGGGGAUCAAACAGGAUUAGAUACCCGAGUAGUC
rnacentral:rRNA from 1 species